AGGUGCGGGGUAUUGGUGAGUAAUCGACGUUCUCCAGCCCCUCUCUCCUCGUUGGGUCCACGGCUCUCGGGGUAGAAACCCAGAGGAAUCCCAGGUGGUUCCAGGGCAGGAGGGAAGGCAGGGGUCCGGGCCACCCCCGGGAGAGUGGGGGGAGGGGCGGCGGGAUUGACAGUCGGUAAUUGGGUAACUGGAGGCGGCUUCUCCGGCCUGGCGGCCCCGCCACCGCGACGCCGGGCCCCUGACGUCACCCGAUUCGCCAGGAAAUGAACUUUUUAAUAAUCCGAGGAGGGAGGAAAGCCCUCGGUCCCCUCGGCUUGGGGGGCGCCCGGCCAGGCCCAGCUCCGCGGGCGCGCCCCCGUCACCCUCUCCCAAGUCAGCUCUGGGCAGCGCCAAGGAGGCGCGGGCCCCGGCCGGGGGCCUCCUCCUACCUCUGCGUCUGGCUGUCCGUUCGUCUGUCCGAGGCCCUGGCGCAGCUUACGAUUCUUCAUCAGGGAGUAAAAUGCAGUUGCCGCGAAGCCUCGAGCCUGUUUCGGGUCCCCGGAGCCUAGCGGGAGUUUCUCAAAGACACCGCGGCCCGGGAACAAUCCCCCAUGUCCGGCAAGGCUGCCCCGCUUGAACUCGAACUCCGGGACCCAGCGCGGGAAGCCGCCGGAGCGAAGCGGAAGCUUCCCGCGGCUCCGAGAUCCGCGCCUCGGCUGGCUGGGAGGCAGCCGCUUCGAGCCCUUGAGAAAGCAGAUUAUCGGAGCCCUUUCACAGUGCGCACAACAAAUGCGCCCGCCAUCGAAUGCAUCAUUUACCACCGCAGAUCUGCGCGCUGAUGGGCAGGCAGAUAGCCGUCCGCGUGGGGCAUAUCGGGCGCCCGGUGCCCGCGCUGCCUGCCUGCCUGCCUGUACGGGGCACCCGAGUGUGCGCCCCCCGGGUGUGCCCGGCGUGUUUGGAUGGACAUGCGGGUGUGCCAGUGGAUGGUCACUGAACAAGCAAGGGUUUUGGUGUGCAUGCAGGUAUGUCAAACAAGUGUGCUACAAGAAAGUGCACUUGUGCAAGCCCAUGCGCACACGCGUGGCAGGCGUGUGCACUGUGAGUGCCUGGAGACCACCGAGAUGAGGCUGGUUGAGGGUGCACAGAGGAAGGGGUGAUGCACGUGAAUGUGUCCGCAUGCAUGUCACUCAGCGUGGGUAGACACGUGUGUAAAGGAGUAGGUGUGUAAAUCUGUGUGUACAAGUGUGGUGGAUGAGUGUAUUGUGAGUGCCUCGGUGUAUCUGCCCUCGAUGAGGCUGUUUAGCGGUGCACACAGGAGGUGGUGUCGCCUGCCGCUAGGGCGGGUGUAUAUGGGCAUAUUCAGGCAUGGGUGUUUUACUCUCCAGAGUGGUGUGCGCCUGCAGGUGUCCCCGCCUACUCAGUGUUUUGGGGGCAUGCAUGCUUGUAAGCAUGUGCAUCCACGCAUGCCUGUGACUGCCAGGAGUGAGUGUGCAGGUGUCAGCGUUCACCCCAGGGUGUGCCUUGGAGUGUACACGGAUCUGCAUGAGGUUGGUUGUGUCUUUGUGUAUCUAUCUGCCCGGGUGUGCCCGGGUGCGCUGCGAGAAGGGCAAGGGGAAGGGCGGUCGUCGGGGUCUGUCCGGCGUCUGCAUGUGUAGGCUCAGGACUGGACACUCGAGCAAGGCCCCCCUCCAGCUUGGGAAAGAGACAGCCAAAGGGGAGAGAACGGUGUGUGCGGGUGUGAUAGACGCCACAGUGGAAGGAGUGGGAUGUGCUGUGUAACAUGAGUGCUUGUGACAGAAAACGGAGUGUGCGGGUCUGUAGGGGGGAGAGGUGUUCGGAGGAGUUUAGGAACACCCAGGGGUCCCAACCCUCCUCAGGGGGGCACACCCUGCCAGGGACCCAGAGCCUUCUCGUUCUGGACCUGAGCUAAGAAAGAUCCGA